rnacentral:rRNA from 1 species
UUGGCUCAGGAUGAACGCUGGCGGCGCACAUAAGACAUGCAAGUCGAACGGCCAAAUUUUUUAGUUUANUAAGAGAAGAGGUUAGUGGCGGACUGGUGAGUAACGCGUAAGCAACCUGCCUAUUAGUAUGGAAUAACAGUGAGAAAUCACUGCUAAUACCGUAUAAGCUGCGAAUAGCACAUGCUAUAAACAGAAAAGGAGCAAUUCGCUAAUAGAUGGACUUGCGUCUGAUUAGUUAGUUGGUGAGGUAACGGCCCACCAAGACGAUGAUCAGUAGCCGGACUGAGAGGUUAAACGGCCACAUUGGGACUGAGAUACGGCCCAGACUCCUACGGGAGGCAGCAGUGGGGAAU